rnacentral:rRNA from 1 species
UACAGAGGUCUCAAGCGUUGUUCGGAUUCAUUGGGCGUAAAGGGCGCGUAGGCGGCGGGGCAAGUCGGGUGUGAAAUCUCAGGGCUCAACCCUGAAACUGCACUCGAUACUGCUCUGCUUGAGGACUGGAGAGGAGAUUGGAAUUCACGGUGUAGCAGUGAAAUGCGUAGAUAUCGGGAGGAACACCUGUGGCGAAAGCGGCGCACUGGACCAUAACUGACGCUGAGGCGCGAAAGCUAGGGGAGCAAACAGG